rnacentral:rRNA from 1 species
GACGAACGCUGGCGGCGUGCUUAACACAUGCAAGUCGAACGGAAAGGCCCUGCUUGCCGGGUACUCGAGUGGCGAACGGGUGAGUAACACUUGGGUGAUCUGCCCUGCACUUCGGGAUAAGCCUGGGAAACUGGGUCCAAUACCGGAUAGGAGCCAUUUUUAGUGUGAUGGUUGGAAAGUUUUUUCGGUGUAGGAUGAGCUCGCGGCCUAUCAGCUUGUUGGUGGGGUAAUGGCCUACCAAGGCGGCGACGGGUAGCCGGCCUGAGAGGGUGGACGGCCACAUUGGGACUGAGAUACGGCCCAGACUCCUACGGGAGGCAGCAGUGGGGAAUAUUGCACAAUGGGCGCAAGCCUGAUGCAGCGACGCCGCGUGGGGGAUGACGGCCUUCGGGUUGUAAACUCCUUUCGCUAGGGACGAAGCUUUUGUGACGGUACCUAGAUAAGAAGCACCGGCUAACUACGUG